AUAGCAUGGUGUGGGCAUUUAUGAAUGAGAUCCUUUAACUUUUUCCAUGUCUCAUAAAAAAAUUCACCAAUUAAUUGGAAAAAACUACUUAUUGCUUUUCUAAUUUG